GAAGGAUCACAGACCUUCCAGCUAGCAGACAGCCGCGGCGCCGGGAAAGUAAGAUUUCUCAGCGUUCCUGACUCCUAGCUUUCCUGCUUGAUGUCAGAGAAGCUUGAUCUUGCGAGUGAUGGACACCUUCCCAGAGUAGUACUCUUUACAAUGGAAGACUGUUUCAAAGCCAAGUGUCAGCCUACAGUGUACUGAUUUAAAAGCAACUGAGGAAGUGGUUUAUAAGAAAAAUGAUGACAGUAUAUGGCCUUGGCACCAUCGGAAGGCAAUAAUACUUUUGGCUGGCCUCGAACUUAUGCUGCUAUUCCUGGAUUCAGCCUCCGAGGAUAGCCGAGCGCACCACGAUACCUGGGUUCUUAAAGAGUACAUUCUUUAAUGUAUACACAAAGCUUAAUAGCUGAACCAACAAACAUUUUCGUUUUUAAAAGUCUCUAGUCCUUUUAUUAAAACAUUGCCAAACAUGACCAACUCUUCUCUUGCAUCUAUACUAGUCAUUUCUGUACAGGGGCUUUCCAUUAUUCCUCACGCGGUUUUGAGCAUCACACAGAGAAAAGAAAGAUAUCAACAUGCACAUCCUGAUGAAGUUUCUGUACUGACUAAGCAGAACGGACACCAGUAUUGUAAUAGCAAAUAUGAAGACAGCUCUUCAGAGAAACUACAUUAUACCUAAAGAAUUAGACUUCUUGCCAAGCACAGCAGGUCUGCUACCUUCAGCUUCACGUUUAACGAUAAUGCAGCAGAAAAACUGAGAAAGGAAUUUAACUUCAGCAGUUGACCUACAAACGAAUUAAAUUGCCUUCCAACUGUAGAUUCAAGCAACAUUUUUAUAGGACUGUUCAUGAAAAACCAGGAAGAGUAAACUCACAGAAGCUAUCCUAUUUUUAAUUGUUUUAUCUUUAGAAAUUAUGGUCAGAAGGGAGUAACAGGCCUCUUCCUAACAACAGUAAAUUUACCUUGCUAGGCACAGGUGAAAAAGGAAAUCUUCCAUUGAAAAAAAUAGGGGGUCGGGGGUUUAGCUCAGUGGCGUAAGUGCCUUGGCCUGGCAAA